GCACAAGCGGUGGAGCAUGUGGUUUAAUUCGACGCAACGCGAAGAACCUUACCAGCUCUUGACAUGUCCAGUAUGGGGCCGAGAGAUCGACUCCUUCAGUUCGGCUGGCUGGAACACAGGUGCUGCAUGGCUGUCGUCAGCUCGUGUCGUGAGAUGUUGGGUUAAGUCCCGCAACGAGCGCAACCCUCAUCUUCAGUUGCCAUCAGGUUAUGCUGGGCACUCUGAAGGAACUGCCGGUGACAAGCCGGAGGAAGGCGGGGAUGACGUCAAGUCCUCAUGGCCUUUAUGGGCUGGGCUACACACGUGCUACAAUGGCGGUGACAGAGGGACGCGAAGGGGCAACCCUUGGCCAAUCUCAAAAAGCCGUCUCAGUUCGGAUUGUUCUCUGCAACUCGAGAGCAUGAAGCUGGAAUCGCUAGUAAUCGCGGAUCAGCACGCCGCGGUGAAUACGUUCCCGGGC
rnacentral:rRNA from 1 species